rnacentral:misc_RNA from 1 species
GACAACAUACACAGAAACUGUUCCGACAGCAUAGAAAAGAUUCUGAAAUAGGGAUGCUCUCUUGUCAUGUUAACAACACUCCAAAAUUGCCCCAAAGCAUAAGGCCAAAAGAAGCAAGGAAAAUCACCUACCCCCACUGCCCCCCUACAUGCAAGCUAAAGAAAAACACUGAUUUUUAAGAACAAUAUCUCCUUCACUCAUACCCAAGAAUAAAACUAAAAUUGGCUCCUUGCCAUUCCUUCACAUAAUUGCACGAGCUUGUUCAAAUUUGAGGAAAUAGACCCCUGAAAUCAGGCUAUUAUCAAAGGAUAUAUUUCUAUCAAAGAUUUCUUUAAGACAAAUUUGGGUUAACUGACUACUGGGCUGGUGAAAAGUGGAUGCAACUUGGUGAAAUUCAUCUCUAGACUGGUUUACAGAGAAAAAUGAGAACAUUGUACAAAUGCACUAGUAUAGAUUGGUGAUAAAACCUAUCAAAGAAAAAAUGUGGCAAUGACACGACGUAUGUAAUUGACUUGAUCACGCUCAAAAUUGCGGCAGAUGUCAGGGAUGAAAUGGCAAUAGAGACAGAAGGGAUAUUAAGAAAAUUCAGAGGCCGUUAAAAGAACAGUUUAUAAAACAAUCUAAAGCUUGGAGACAAUCAAUACUGAGCAAACAAUAAGCAAUGUUCUACGCAAACUACCAACGCUUAUCAUAAGCCAGAAGUAAAGAUUUUUAAUUUUUUUUUCUUUAAAAUCUGAAACAAUUCAAUUUAUACCAUCUUAGCCCAAGAGUUCUGCCAAUUAUUUUAAAUCAUUUAUACUUAUCCACAAAAAAUGGUUCUACAGACUACACAUUCAUAGUAACAAAUGAUCUCAGCUUCCUUCACCGAGUAAUUAUAGCACCAAUAUCUUUUCAUUAAUGUAGAGGCUAUAGUAACUACUAGAAGAUUCUGAGUACCUUAUGUCAAACUCUUCCGACUU